rnacentral:lncRNA from 1 species
UAGAGUAGAAGAUGGUAACAACUAAGAAUAACAAGUAUAUUUUUUUCUUCAGUCAGCUAACUAGUUUGCAUAUAAAAUUAUCAAAAGAGAAAAAUAUCAUGAAAGAAUGAAACAGGAACAUAGUUGGUGAUAAUGAUGGUGGGUUGAUACUGAUCUUAACUUUAAAUUUAUGGUGGGUUGAUACUGAUCUUAACUUUAAAUUUAUGGUGGGUUGAUACUGAUCUUACAAAGUUGGUGAUAAUGAUGCAAGCAAUGUAUGACUGUAUGAGUAGACUGCCUAUUUACACAAUAAAUGAUGCAUUAUAUGUCAAAUUCACUCAGAUACAUAACAUAUGUAUGGAGAAGGUUUACAACUUCUUACCAAUCUUCUAUAUCAUCAUCUUCAUCGACGUCUUCUACUCUUGUUAAAAGCUUGACAUCGGAUAAGUUUUCUGCUUUAAAUCCAUGUAUAUUUGAUAUUUUUUCCGUCAAAUUAGCAUUUUCCAAGUAUUUAGAACCAAGCCACUUGAUUGCAGGUAUAAAUUCCAUAGCCAGAUCGGUGAUGCUACAAAUUGAUACAAAGCUGGUGGUGGGGGAAUCAUAUCUCUCCAUUGCCAUCUUAUUCUGCAAAUAAAUCACAAAAACAGAUGAAGUGCAAUUUUUUUUUUCCUUUCGCUGUUUAUAUUUUUAGGUUUUCUUCUUCUUUUGUGUGGAUAAACAAUUAGCCAGUGACUGUAUUUUCUCAUUUUGGCCAAUAUUAUUUCGGAUUGGACAUUAAGAAAAUCCCUAUUUUAUAUACGGAGAUAUUUGUUUCCAUGAUUUUAUAUAUAAAGCCAAUUUCUUACCAAGAGAUGGUGACGGCUUAACAAUACUAAAUUAAUAUGAUCACAAAAUUAAGCAGAAUAAAGAUUUAAAUAUAGCAAUAAGCUGG